rnacentral:rRNA from 1 species
UACGUAGGGUGCGAGCGUUGUCCGGAAUUAUUGGGCGUAAAGGGCUCGUAGGCGGUCUGUCGCGUCGGGCGUGAAAACUCAGGGCUUAACCCCGAGCCUGCUUCCGAUACGGGCAGACUAGAGGUAUGCAGGGGAGAAUGGAAUUCCUGGUGUAGCGGUGAAAUGCGCAGAUAUCAGGAGGAACACCGGUGGCGAAGGCGGUUCUCUGGGCAUUACCUGACGCUGAGGAGCGAAAGUGUGGGGAGCGAACAGG